CCAAAAUAAAAUAUCCAACCCAAUUAUUGAAACCCUAUCCAUCUAAUAUAUACCCAAGCAAAAAUAAAAAUUACUUCAUCUACUCAUCUUCGGCUACUCAAAACCCUAUCCAUCUUCAGUUCACUCAAAACUCAAAACCCACUACGCUCUACCUGUCAUCUACUCAUCUUCGGCUAGGGUUUAACUUGCUCUCUUCCAUCCUGUCAUCUUCAACUUGCUCUCUUCCAUCUUCAGCUAGGGUUCUUAAGUUUGAUCAUGCCGCCUAAAUGUCAAUCACCUGUUUGGGAUCACUAUGAAAUGGUGGAGGAAAUUGAAGGAGUGCGCAUGAUGAAAUGUAUCCAUUGUGGUCAAAUUUACCAUUGUCACUUGAGGGGAAAUGGGAUUGAAGGUCUACAGAGACAUGUUCAUAGAUGUCUUGAAAAACAACAAGGAAUGCCACUGAUGUUGCAAGUUCCUUUUGAAGUUUAGAAUUUAGACUAUGCAGUUAUAACUUAUGAUGUUGAUGUUUAAUUAUGCACUUGGUGUUGAUGACUGUUGCUUGCUGCUUUAAUUUGAAACUUUAGACUGUUCUAACUUUAAAUGGUGUGUGAUUUGUGACUGCUGAUUUGGUA